rnacentral:rRNA from 1 species
ACGUCCUAAGCGUUGGGCUGCGAGAGAAACUGCCGAACUAGAGGGUGGGAGAGGUCAGCGGUAUUCCUGGGGUAGGGGCGAAAUCCAUUGAUCCCAGGAGGACCACCAGUGGCGAAGGCUGCUGACUAGAACACGCCUGACGGUGAGGGACGAAAGCUGGGGUAGCGAAUCGGAUUAGAUACCCGAGUAGUCCCAGCUGUAAACGAUGCAGGCUAGGUGUUGGGUUGGCCAAGCGCCGACUCAGUGCCACAGGGAAGCCAUUAAGCCUGCUGCCUGGGGAGUACGGUCGCAAGGCUGAAACUUAAAGGAAUUGGCGGGAGAGCACCACCAGGCGUGAAGCCUGCGGUUUAAUUGGAGUCAACGCCGGGAAACUUACCGGGAGCGACAGCAGAGUGAAAGCCAGGUUGAAGGUCUUGCUGGACGAGCUGAGAGGAGGUGCAUGGCCGUCGCCAGUUCGUGCCGUGAGGUGUCCUCUUAAGUGAGGUAACGAACGAGACCCGCGCCCCAUGUUGCCAUCAAAUCCUUUAGGGAUGUUGGGCACUCUUGGGGGACCGCAGCCGACAAGGCUGAGGAAGGUGCGGGCAACGGCAGGUCAGUAUGCCCCGAAAAUCG